CUGUUUUACACCAACGCGAACAAAAAAGCGAAGAGUAAUUAUGAAACUGCUCACUUAUCUUUUUGUAAUUCUGAGCGCUAUAUUAGUAGUGAUGUCAAGUACAGCCCUUGUAGCAGCGGGUAACAAAAAUGACGACCCGCAAAAUGCUGGUGAAAAUCCACCUCCGCCACCGGCUCUUACAUCUGCAUACCGUCACUAGCAGAUUACUUCCAACAAAAUACCGCAAAUAAACUUGGACUAGACAAAUGUAUCUAAUAAUAUUUUGUUUUCAAGUAUAAAAAAUAAAAAAAAUAUUUGCACCAUAAUAA